AGCUCUUUCUUUAUUCAAGUUUUUUAGCUAUUUAUGCAAUCAUAAUAAUAUUCUGUGAUUUUAAAAACAUAAUACUAAUGCUGAAAUGUAUUCUAGGUGUUCGAACUAAUGUUACAACAAAAUGUCGAAUCUGAUAGCGGGGUAGAUCAAAUUGAAUCAGAGUUAGUGCCUAUGUGUGCUGCUACAAUUCUCGCACAUGAUUUUCCCUUUGAUUUUUUUGAGUUGGCGGGAAUUAGGAACCUCGCAUCUUGCUUAAAUCCAAAUGUUGUUAUGCCUCCUUCAAAUGUUCUUGAGGCUUAUGUCUCCGAUUUGUACACGAAUCAGAAACUCAAGCUUAAGCAAGAAUUGGCUACCAUUCCUAAUAAAUAGGAUAUCUUUAACUUUUGAUUUGUGGGAAUCUAAUACUACUGAGACUUAUAUUUGUUUGACUGCUCAUUUCGUUGAUGCGAAUUGGAAGUUAAAUAGUAAAGUUCUCAACUUCUGUCUUGUUUACCCUCCUACUGGAGCUGAGAUGUGUGAGAGAAUGGUUGAGUUUUUGAGUGAUUGGGGAAUAGAGAAAAAGAUUUUCUCUCUCACUUUAGAUGAUUCAUCUGAGAAUGACAUUUUGCAAGAACAAUUAAAAAAUCAACUUUGUUUGCAAAAUGGGUUGUUAUGUGAUGGAGAGUUCUUUCAUGUGCAUUGUUUUGCCCGCGUUUUAAACCUGAUUGUUGAUGAAGGGUUAAAACUAGUUGAGAGUGUUGUCUGUAAGAUCAGAGAGAGCAUUUUGUUUGUAAGGCAUUCCAAGAGUAGAUGGAAAUUUUUUAAGGAGUGCGUUGAAAAGGUUGGUGGUGUUGAUAGUUCGGUUCGCUUGCAUCUAGAUAUGUCUAUGAGAGUGAACUCAACUUAUUUGAUGCUUCAAAGUGCUCUUAAAUAUCAGCGUGCGUUUGAAAGUCUUCACUUGUAUGAUGAUGAUUAUGAUUCAUGUCCUGCGGCAGAAGACUGGAAAAGAGUAGAAAAGAUUUGUGCAUUCUUGUUACCUUUUUGUGAAACUGCCAACAUGAUUAAUGGCGCAACACAUCCUACUUCCAACUUGUAUUUUUCGCAAGUUUGGAAACUUCAAUGUGUUUUAGUUGAUAGUUUGGGAGAUGAAGAUGAAUUUGUAGCGAGAAUGGCUAAAAGUAUGAUGGGCAAGUUUAAGAAAUAUUGGGAUGAGUAGUGUUGUUCUUGCAAUGGGAGCAGUUCUUGACCCACGGAUGAAAUUUUCAAGAUUGGCUGCUUGUUACUCAAAACUAGAUCCAUCAACUUGUGAACGGAAGUUGCAAAAAGUAAAGACAAAGUUGUACAUGCUAUUUGCCAAGUACUCUAGCAAAAGUACUUCUUCUAGGGUGCAAACAACUAUUUAGGGCCAAUCUUCUACCAUGCCAUUGCAAAAGAACUCUGAGUCUUCAUCUCUCGACCUAGUUGAUCUUGUUACUAAAACUGGAAAGUCUGAACUUGAUGUUUACUUUGACGAGUCAGAUUUGAAUUUUGGUUCUUAUGAAGAUAUGGAUGUAUUACAAUGGUGGAAGAGUAAUUCAAAUCGAUUUCCAGAUCUAUCAAUAUUGGCUUGCGACUUGUUAAGUGUUCCCAUUGCCACAGUGGCUUCUGAUUUUGAAUUUUGCAUGGGCUCACGUGUGUUAAACAAGUAUAAAGAUCGCAUGUUACCAAUGGAUGUGGAAACUAGAAUUUGCACUCGCAGUUGGCUGUACAAUUUUGUUAGUGAUGAUGGAGAAGACGACGACGAUGACUUUGAAGAAAUAAUGAAUGAAAUUGACGGUGGUGAUGAUGGUGACGAUGAUAGAGAAGACAGUGAUGAAUGAAGAUGAUGACAGUAUUGGAGAAGACGGUGAUGAAUGAAGAUGAUGAUGGUGAUGGUGAUUUGUUUGCUUUUAUUUAUUUAACUUUGGCUUUAUGGUUCAAAAAAUUAAGACUAUAUAUGGUUGUUAGGUUAUGUUUUCUGGAGUCACUGGUCACUGGUGAACUUAAUUUUGAAAGCUUUUAAUUGUCAACUUGUUUGUUUGUAUCUAGUAAUAUGUGGAUGUGGAUUUGUUUGCUUUCUAAUGUUUAAUGUUGGAUGAAGUUAGUUUGUAUUACCAAAGAGUGGAAAUUGUCUUUUUUAUUGUGAAUUGUUUAUAUU